rnacentral:rRNA from 1 species
GAUGAACGCUGGCGGCGUGCCUAAUACAUGCAAGUCGAGCGAACGGACGAGAAGCUUGCUUCUCUGAUGUUAGCGGCGGACGGGUGAGUAACACGUGGAUAACCUACUUAUAAGACUGGGAUAAUUUCGGGAAACCGGAGCUAAUACCGGAUAAUAUUUUGAACCGCAUGGUUCAAAAGUGAAAGACGGUCUUGCUGUCACUUAUAGAUGGAUCCGCGCUGCAUUAGCUAGUUGGUAAGGUAACGGCUUACCAAGGCAACGAUGCAUAGCCGACCUGAGAGGGUGAUCGGCCACACUGGAACUGAGACACGGUCCAGACUCCUACGGGAGGCAGCAGUAGGGAAUCUUCCGCAAUGGGCGAAAGCCUGACGCAGCAACGCCGCGUGGGUGAUGAAGGUCUUCGGAUCGUAAAGCUCUGUUAUUAGGGAAGAACAUAUGUGGAAGUAACUGUGCACAUCUUGACGGUACCUAAUCAGAAAGCCACGGCUAACUACGUG